rnacentral:rRNA from 1 species
UACGGGGGGGGCAAGCGUUGUUCGGAAUUACUGGGCGUAAAGGGCUCGUAGGCGGCCAACUAAGUCAGACGUGAAAUCCCUCGGCUUAACCGGGGAACUGCGUCUGAUACUGGAUGGCUUGAGAUUGGGAGAGGGAUGCGGAAUUCCAGGUGUAGCGGUGAAAUGCGUAGAUAUCAGGAGGAACACCAGUGGCGAAGGCGCCACUCUGGGCCGUGACUGACGCUGAGGAGCGAAAGCGUGGGUAGCAAACAGG